GGCGGAACUGUUGGGUUGCCGGCAGCCGGGAAGGGUUUGCCUGACACUCUUGGCUGGGCGGGAAGAAAUGGGGGGAAGGAGAAGGGCGGCGCACUGGGCUGCUGGAAGCUGGGUUCCUUCCGAAGGGACGUUACGCUACCGUCCGUAAUAUCACCCCAAGCCCUAGCAUUCUCAGGAAAGUCGCUUAUGAAGCUAUGACUCAAGUGCCGCAGUGCUUGGGCCCACGCUUCGCAGCGUGGAAUCAGCGGCGGGGCGCGGCGGCACGAGGAAGCUGUGCAAAGCCGAAGGGGCAGCCUCAGACCAGGAACCUUACCCGUCUGGCGGGUCUUAUGGCCGAGUCACCGUGGCGGCGCGGCAGCUCGGGCCCGGUUCUUCCGGGCGGGCCGGGGUGGUCACCUCUGCAAAGCAGGGUUUCUGGGCCGUGAUCGAGUCUUGCUCACGGGCAUGUCGGGAAACGCCUGCUGCGCUCCCUGCCUGAAAAUCCACUCUUGAAAAUGCACUCCCUUAGGUUAAAACGCUGCCUUUCCUAAGGACCUUCUUUAAAAGUAAAUCCUAACAUAAACUUGCAAGACAUGGCCUGUAUGAGAAGAAAAAGACCACACGAAAGCAG
rnacentral:lncRNA from 1 species